ACAGUGUUUAUUAAAUAAACACAGUGUAUGGAAAAACCUUGAACCUAUAAAUCUUAAUCUAAUGUCUCCUAAAGAGGAAAUUCUGCUUGGCGUAGAGUGGCAAUUGCUGCAAAUAUGCAUUAGACCUCCAAUGCCUCCUCACAUUGGGAAAAAUUGGAUUCACCUGUGGGAUGGACUGGCUGAGAUAACAGGAUUGAUAAUCUCAGCCAAAGUAGAAUGGAG